UCUCUGAGAUCUGUUUACCAUACAUCUCGCUUCUCUUUCUGAAUGAUUGUGUGGAUCUUAAAAACAGGGAUUCUUGUUACUCUCUGAAUUCUCUCUACUGAGUUAAUUUGUGCUAUCUUGAAAAAAAAAAACCAGCACUAGCAAUAAAUGAGUUGCAGAGUUAGAGAACAUCUUGAGAUGUGAGGAGAGAAAAGAUGGAUCAUAUCAUAUGCGUGGGUUCUUCAUCAUCGAUUUCUUCUUUCUUGAAAAAUGCUGGCCGUUCUCCAGGAACAAUCCCGUGGGUUCUCCAUUGCUCUACCAAGUCUCUUCACAUCUCCCUCACAAGCACCAGAUAGAGCAGUCCACCUCACGUGGUAAUGGAACAGCAUUUAACCUUGAACCAUGUGUGGAAUUCUCCAGAGAAAUCUAGUCCAUCUCUUCAUUUACAAGGAAGAGAUGUUCAACGUAUUAUUACCUACAGAGCACCAGAUGGUAAUAUUUUCAUGUUUGGCUUCCCAGCAACUCCACUAAUCAAUUAAGGUUCAGGACAAAGGAGUCAUCAAAUUUGAAUCACUCCAAUUCCAAGGAACAAUCAACAAUGGAAUCAUGCCAAAGAAGCAUGGAGAGACAGCAAAGUUCAGGGCCAGAGCAAGCUGGAUUAGUGCACAAGAAGCCCUUCUAUAGCUUCUUUGCACCAGAGGAAGAGAUGGGUAGGGGUGGAUACCAGUAUUAGAUUGAACACUAAGAGAGUUGAAGCAAGAGGGGAUGGCAUUGAUCUCAACUUGAGCCUUUUAACCGGGUAACAAGAAAUAUGAAGCAGAUAUUUUGCCAGAGCUGAGCUGCCCCUCUCCAUUACCACAUUCU